AUUGACACAGAAUUUUUGGAAGUGUUGGCCUUCAGCAAAACUCCUAAUUCGGACUUAAUGACGAAGUCAGGGUUAUUCAUCUUGUGCAUGCUGCGCCCCCUUUCUUUUGACGUCCAAGUGCAAGAACAGGAGAUAGGAGCUGCCCAGUGGAUGCCUUUUAAGGAAUAUGCAGCUCAGCCAUUCAAUGAGAAGAACAAGUUUGUGAAGCAGAUGGAUGAAGUGUGCAGG